rnacentral:rRNA from 1 species
GACGAACGCUGGCGGCGUGCUUAACACAUGCAAGUCGAGCGGUAAGGCCCUUUCGGGGGUACACGAGCGGCGAACGGGUGGGUAACACGUGGGUGACCUGCCUUUAGCUCUGGGAUAAGCCUGGGAAACUGGGUCUAAUACCGGAUAUGACCCUAUGGCGCAUGUUGUGGGGUGAAAGCCUUGUGCGGCUAGGGAUGGGCCCGCGGCCUAUCAGCUUGGUUGGUGGGGUGAUGGCCUACCAAGGCGACGACGGGUAGCCGGCCUGAGAGGGCGACCGGCCACACUGGGACUGAGACACGGCCCAGACUCCUACGGGAGGCAGCAGUGGGGAAUCUUGCGCAAUGGGCGAAAGCCUGACGCAGCGACGCCGCGUGAGGGAUGACGGCCUCGG